UCCCUGAUGGCUCAGAUGGUAAAGUGUCUCCUUGCAAUGUGGGAGACCUGGGUUCGAUCCCUGGUUUGGGAA
rnacentral:tRNA from 1 species